CUGAUGAUGCUGAUCGUCUUCACCAGCCAGUUCAGAUGUGGGAACAGUCAGUCAGCCUCUAAGAGCUCUUCUCUCCAGACGCAGAUUAAAGCAGCAGCAGCUGGACAAGUGGGAUAUCAGAGAAAGGAAACAUGGCAGCCUGGGGAUACAGAGACUCCAAAUACGACGAAGACGCUGCUGAUAACCCAGUUUCUGCCCUGUUUUCUGAGGGUGUAUUCGUAUUAAUGGAGAUGCGACUGAAUAAAAGAACUGCACCAUGUGAAAUCGUGCUCCAGUGGCCUGCACGCUGAUUGUUGGAUCUCCUGAAAAGGUGGGACCAUAGAUUAAGGUGAGUUCCUUUGGGCCCUUUGAUGUAACAAUAAACUGUAGGCCUACUUUAUAACAUGCUUUUCAGAUUUUGCAUAUUAUACUUUUACACACACAAUGCCUAGAAUACAGAGGAUUCAGGGCUUUGGACUUUACAGUCGACCUGCAAAAUCAUCUUAAAUAAUCUGCAUCAACAUCAUCGGCAAAAAUUCUAGCAAUUACUCAAACCUUUUGACAGACUUUCUUUAUAGUCUCCUUUAGACUUGCUCACUACUCCAGUCGCUGCUUCUGUUUAUUUUCCAAGAGCAUUUCACCUCAAUAUUCUCUCCUUAAUAAAUAAACACAAGAUUGUAUUGUAGCUGUGCACACUGUUGCCUUCCAUUUUUUGCUGCUCUUCUGUGCUUCUUUGCUCUUCAGGUGAGUCGUGAAUCAGCAGGAUGGGCAGGAAAGUUCUCCCUUCAGCCGAACUUCAGUGUCUUCACAUUACAGCCAAAGAUUAGACCACCAAAAACAGUGUGUCUAGACAGAGGUCACGCAGUGGGACAUCAAUGCUGUUUGUGCACUGAGAAUUCUACAAGAUUUUACAACCAGUUUACCUCCAUGGAAAACCUUCAGACGUCGUUGUGUGUUGACCUGCGGCUCAACGUGAUGAAAAUGUUUAUAAUUUUAGUUUUUGUUGAACGUCAGCUCAUGAUCUAAGGCCUUCUAGUCUCUUUCCCUUUUAUGAGUGAACUCCCUUUCUAACUCAGUCAUCACUCACCUUCCUUUACACAGAUUAUGGUAUUAAAGGAAAAGAACUACAUACAAGAUCACUAUGAGAUGGUAACAGUCCCAUUUUCCCCUUUAUUUUUGAUAUAUUUUUGUCUCUUAUGACAUAUGACAUUAGCUGUAAAUGGUGAUUAUAGACUAACUAUGUUACUGUGUACAUAAAGUUUGGAAGUAUAAUAGAAAAUAUACUAUAUGGAGAAAAGUAUUGGGACACCACUUUUUUGUCUUCUUUUUGAUGAAACCACUGUCUCUAACUGUCCAGGAAAUACUUUCUGUUAGAUUUUGGGAUUGCUGUGAGGAUUUGACUGCAUUCAGUGACACCUCACCUCAACCCCAACUCAUCCCAAAACGAUAGGCUGGAGCACACAUAGUGUAUAAUAUACAGACACACUGGCAGACACUGAAUUCUUGUCAUAAAAGUCCUAUGCAUUAAUGCCUGUCUUUCCUCAACUAAUACUAAUGCCUUUUUGGAAAGGAUUAAAGGGAAUUGUGGGCAAUAGUACUGGAACGUGUAACAGUAUGCUUUAUUUAGCUAUAAUAUUAUGUGCACCAUUAUUAAUAUUUAAAAUCAUUGAUAGUUGCACUUAUACCAUGCUGUUGAUGUAUUGGCAGUUUCUUUUAUAGGUAUAGAUCUUUCGCAAUGAAAUUGAGAUGCCCCCAGUGACCAGACUAUCCUGUAACUGUUUUUGCUUCUUGUGGAAUGGACGCACACUGUCUUUCCUUCAUCUUUUGAACAAUAGAACUGCUUUGUAGCUUCAGAGCUUACAGCACUAACACAGGAGAUCUAGAAGUGACACUCUCUUUUAACUGAAAUGAAACUGCAUUGAAACACCGAAAACUUCUUGUUACUAACAGUUUCUAACAACACUAACAAGUGGGCUGAGAGGAGAUUAAUACAGUUAAAAUAGGAACUCCUUGUAUACAAUUAAAAAUAAAGGCAGCGAAUAUUGGAGUGAUGGCAUUGAAGAGAGAUCUUUCAAUUGGGACCUUGAAUUCAGUUUACAGUCCUGGGAUUUGUAAUCCUUGGUAAGUGCCAAGUGUCAUUAUUUGAAACUGGCUGCAGGGUCCAAACUGGAAGACCCGAGUCAUAGAAGAACACCUUCACCCUCUCUGAGUGGUUAAGCAGACCAAGGAUGCUGCCACAUGGGCCUGAGGAUCACAGCCAGAGUUGGAGAGAGCACAAUUGGCCUUGCUCUUUCCCAACAUCACUUGAAUUGUGAUCCUGGCUGCCACAGGUUAUUGUAUCAGAGCUGGCAAUCUGUGAUUUCUUGCGUAGUGGUUGGUGUGGUGCAGUGGAUAACACCACCGCCUGCCAGUAAGCUACCAUGUGGGAGCCUGGGGUUCAAUUCCAGGUCUGGGUGACUAUGCUGUGCUACACCAAUAAGAGUUCUUGGGAAGACUCCUAAUAAUACAUUGGUCCAACUCUGUAAUAGAACUAACCUUGUCAGUCGCUCUGGACAAGGGCAUCAGCUAAAUGCUGUAAAUGUGAAAAGUAAAUGUUCUUCCAAGCAUGUUACCUGGACAGGGCAUCCAAGCCGUUGAAGAGCCUUUAUUUUUAAGAUUAAAGUGUAAAAGGAACUCCUUGUUUGCUUAAGAUUGGCCAUAGCCAGUCACCUCCUCUAGAUCUGUCUGCAUAAUGCCUAUUUCUGAUGGAUGAUGCAUGUAUGUGUGCCACAAAUGCUUCACACAAAUUGUGAUGAUGGAGAUUGCAAACAAAGCACAAGUUUACUAACCACACGAUAACAUGCAACUGCCUUUGAUGCAACUGCAGUUUAAUGCUUCUGUCUUGCGACUAACAACCAGCCUUAUUCUCUUCCAUCUCUCCUCUUCUGUUUCAUGACUGUGGAUAACUUAUUUUACUUUAUUCCCAUGGUUAUGUAUUGAGAUGCCAAAAGAACAAUAUAGGAGGGAGAUAGGAAGAUGUUACUAACAGAUAUUAACCAACUAACUGCAUUAAAACCUCUCUCUAACUUCCUUCUUUCUUUCCAUUACUAUUCCUUCCUGUCUUCAGUGCUGCUGUUGACUUCUAUUCUUUUGUGCAUGUUUGUGCAGAUGGUGGUGGAUGAAAUUGCUUUGGUUGUAUAAAUGAAAAUGACAGACUAAUCUACUUCUAAAGCCUGGAAAACACUACAUGAUUUUUAGUCCAAUUUUAGUCCAACCCCUCAUUUAUCCUUGAUUUGGUUCUGGAGAUGAAGGAGCAAUUUGGGGUGUAGGAGAAAAUUUAAGGCACAGUUUCCCAUCUAGGGUUUAAGUCUAGUCCUGGACUUAAAAGCAUUUUGAUACUAUUAAAAAGAUAAAUAGUCUAUGUUUAGGCUUAAUACAUGUUUUUGGAAAUAGGCCCUGUGUGUGAAAUAUGUUCCAGUUUUUUACAUUUAUUAGGAUUUAAAAUGUCCUGUGGUGUUUACCAGGUUUAGGCCCAAUCCCAUUUCACCCCUUGGCCCUACCCCUUACCCCUACCCCUCUGUUUUGCGCGUUCACAUGGCCAAAUUCUUCAUAACAAGCAAGAUCGCUAGUAGUUUGCAUUAGUAGCUAGCUAGCUAACUUUCCUGUUCCUGUUCAACUUUCCAAGCACUCCUGAAGAUGUAUCUGGUGCUUAAAGGGUUGUCCCAAUUCUAAGGGUGGAGGAUUUCACCCCUUACCCUUCUAACUCUGUUUCAAAAGGAAAACGUGAUAUACUCGAAAAGAAGGGGUAGGGGUAAAACGUAGGACCAAGGGGUGAAAUGGGAUUGGGCCUUAAUAUUACUGCUAAUAUUACUGCUAUUACUGCUGCCAGCUAGUAUCAGGUAGCUCUACUAACUUGUGAAACUCGGAUCUUUCCUUCUACUAACCAGUGCACUCUGUAGCUUGUUCAUGCAGAAUUACUCAUGUAUGUUCUAACCAUGUGAAGAUGGUCCCAUCAUACUGUGUCUUUAAUCGUUUUGUCCUUAAACUUACGGAACAAAAGGUGAAACUGCAACAGCAUUUGUUCAAAAUUCAUAUUUAUUGGUAUAUAUAAAUUCAGCAUGAAUGCAGCUGAUCAGUGCAGUUUUUGAUGAGUUCUACUGCAAGUCAAACUACAAGACAAUAUUAAUGCACUCUGUUGUUGCAGUUUUACCAGUACAUACUCAGAUGGAGUGUGGAAAAGGAGUUAUGAGGCUUUCUUUGGGAUAACCAUGAGCCAAGCACUAACUACACUAACACUAACUAAUACACUAAUAACUAACUAAUACUAACAACAACUAACCAACUAACAGACUAAACGGAUUCUAACACAUUAACCGGUAAAGCAAAAUAUACACAAAUCUGCUGCUGUGUGUUCUUCUACUCUUCUAGUUUAUCACUUUCAGUGUUCCAGCCCACCAAAUGUCUGUGUUGAUGAUGAUAAUCAUCAUAUAAAACUGUUAGAAGGUGAGUGUUGUAAGAGGCAUGCCAAAGCAAUGCAAGUGUAACUCAGGGAGAGAGUCUUGUUGGCCUUAACAUGAGUUUGUGGUGUUAUUUUAUUGUGAAAUAUAUUUUGAUAUUACAAUGUGUAAAUAUUUGAUUAAAUUUAAACUAAUGUUUAAAUGUCUUUUAAAGAUAUCUUGGUUGUGUUGUUCUCCUUGUUGCAUAUUACCUCCGUUAGGCCUGUCAUAAAAAUCACAAUAUUGACUUAUUCUACGAUAAUUGUACAUGACUCGUAUGUAACUGAGCUAUGUAUUUUUUAUUUAUUUAUGUUUUUCUCAGCAACGACAGUCUAUUAAAAUAAAAGAGCUAGUAUUGAAAAUA